GACAGGCAGAAACAAUAAUAUUCACAUUCUUGGAGGCUACGGCUUGGCUCUACUCUUCUUGGAGAGGCAAAUCUGGCCAUUGAGGCUUCUAAGUGGGAGAGUUUCCUUGCAUGUGAAGCCACACAAAAGAAAGCAGAACUGAGGAAAAGAGACAGAGUCCUAUCAACAUGGCCCGUACAUGGCUGUUAUGUCUGGCAAUGCCUGGAACCAUACCGUAAUAACUUAAUUGUUAUAUUUUCAAUUUUAGAUUGCACAUUUUUUAGAAAUCAAGUCAGUAGAUUUGAGUACCGGUUCCAGUUGGAGUUUUUAGUAUCUGCAACAGAAAGCGGUCAGGGAAAUAUAUAAUAUUAAUGAUUUUUUUUUACAAUUUCAUUUUUAUUUUUUAGAAAAUCUUCAAGAGAAAGUACCUGGGAGGGGUCUCAGAUUCAGAAAUGAUCAUUCCCUCUCUGAAUAAAUACUUUAAUUUAUAUGCUUCAUUAUGAAAACUAUUCUGCUCUGGAGAAGCAUUCACUUCUGGGUAAUAAAAGCUCUAUGAACUGUGAGGAACAUGGAGCCACAAGAUGGAAGUAUGAAGGAAUGUCACAGAACACUGGACAUUUAUCCAUCCCCAAAGUGAGGUUCACUCCUGCCUGCAACAAGACCAAACCUCCAGGGGUCCUUCCAUAUAUACAGCUCCUACACCAGCUCCAAGGACACCAACCAGGGAUGCCAAGCAGGAUGGAUAGAGGCAUUUCCCACCCCCAGAGAAACAGCAG
rnacentral:lncRNA from 1 species